AAUUUUGACUAGUUUUAUUAUUAACAAAUCAAAAAGAAAAAGCUAUCAUUUUUCUCUUCUCCUUCACCGAAAUAUGCAGCAAAGAAAGGGCUUUGAAGCUGGAAAAUUUCAGCAACAUAUUUCCCUUGCUUAUGAUGAAAAUCGAGAUUUGGACCUAGAACGGAAAGAAAUCGAUUAAGGGAUAAUUACGUCUUUUUUUUUUCACCUUUGUGGUAUCGAGAUCAAGAACAAAGGAAAUCGGACUUAGAUCGGGGAAAAACAAAAAUAGUCGAAUAGCUGAUUUGUAACGUCCGUCGAUAUCCGAGAUUUUGGUUGUAAGUU